GUGGGGAAUAUUGGACAAUGGGCGCAAGCCUGAUCCAGCCAUGCCGCGUGAGUGAUGAAGGCCUUAGGGUUGUAAAGCUCUUUCAGUGGGGACGAUAAUGACGGUACCCACAGAAGAAGCCCCGGCUAACUUCGUGCCAGCAGCCGCGGUAAUACGAAGGGGGCUAGCGUUGUUCGGAUUUACUGGGCGUAAAGCGCACGCAGGCGGAUCGUUAAGUCGGGGGUGAAAUCCUGGAGCUCAACUCUGGAACUGCCCUUAAUACUGCCAAUCUAGAGUCCGGAAGAGGUGAGUGGAACUCCUAGUGUAGAGGUGGAAUUCGUAGAUAUUAGGAAGAACACCAGUGGCGAAGGCGGCUCACUGGUCCGGUACUGACGCUGAGGUGCGAAAGCGUGGGGAGCAAACAGGAUUAGAAACCCUUGUAGUCC
rnacentral:rRNA from 1 species